AUGUGCUCCAAUUCUGAGAACAUCGCCUCCUAUCCUAGAGCCCUAGCCCUAUCCUCCAUCUGACCAUCCUCUCUCUCCCACCCCAGCCGUCGCCGCCACCGUCAUCUCCUGCCCUUCGGUGACCCCGCCCUUCGGUGACCCCGCCCUUCCACCGCGGACCCUACAGCCUACAUCCACUAUCCGCAGGACCCCCACGCCAUGACCCGCCCAGUUGUCUCCUUCCCCAUGCCAAACCCAAACCUCAACCCCAACCCGAACGCUAACCCCAACGCCGUCGCCCCGGGCCCCAACCCCGGCGCGCGCCUCAUGCAGCUGCUCGGGAACUCCGGGCCGACACAGUUCGAGACCGCCGUCUCCAAGCCGCCGCCCACAUCAGAGUUCGCACAACUGCAAUCGCUCCCAGCGAUGCCAUCCGUGCCGCCGGCCAGGAUGCUGAGCAGCAAGGUGCCCAGGGGGCGGUUACUUGGCACCAGGGAACGAGCGGUGCACGAUGUUGACUCGAGGCUGCCCGGGGAAGGGCAGCCACCACAGCUGGAGGUGACACCGAUUACCAAGUACACAUCGGAUCCCGGGCUCGUGCUAGGCAGACAGAUCGCUGUGAACCGGUCGUGUAUGGGCUCAAGCUCGGUAACAUCCGUGUGCUGAACAUCAACACCGCACUCCGUUCACUCCUCCGUGGUCACACACAGGAAGGUCUGCGCAUUCACCUCCUUCCGCGCCGUCAAUGGAAGCCAGAUCUCCAAACACGCGGUCCUCGCAACGUCGAUCGAAUCCAAUCCAAUCCACAGCAAACAAUGGCGUCCAACGGCAGCGACGUGGUGAUGAUGUACGGGACACGGCGCUGUUGGAGCCGUCCAAGCAGCCCAAGUCAGCGACUUUCUCCGUCAAGGUGAGCCUAGCGCAGAUGCUCUGUGGCAUGAUCAUCAUGGACGUGGUCACCCUGGAGCAGGCACGCAUCGCAGAUUCGUAGUACACAGCUCUAAGGUAUCAUAAUUCAUGGAUUCCAAAUCUGAGACGGAUGUUGAUGUUGACUAUAACAGCUUGUACUCAAAGCAGGGCUUUCUACAGGGCAGGGCGGUACAUGGCGAUGCUUAUGGCGUCGAUGUCAGACAUCGAGACAACAAAACGGGGCAGCAUGUGGGAACUGGAUCAGAACCUUGAUCAGCCCAAGGACAAGGAUGUCAGUCAACUGAAGGACAUGUACAGAUAAAAGGUACAUCGCCAUUGUAUGUUUUCUACAAUAUCUUUCCACAUGGUAUUGAUGAAGACGAGGAUGUAAUUGAAGCUCUAUUGUUGAUCAUUUUACACUCACUCUCAUCCCUCUGAUGAAGUAUGUUUUUGUUGUCUUGCAAGCUAAUGAUAAUGGUCAAGGUGAGAUAUGACGUCCUUGUAUUUAACAAUAAUCUGUUGGCUCUUAUGAUUUCUUUGGUAAUUGCAAAAUUGUGGUGUUUAUCUUGCACUGCUUUUUUAUAGCACAGUAAUCUGCAUUUUCCAAUCUAUGCCUAACAUGUUUAAGUAGCACUAUUAUGCAAUGCAACCAAUCUUAGAACAUAAAUGGGAAACUUGUUAAAGCAUAACAGUGGCAUUACUUUUGUGACCUGUGUCCAAAUUUAAUGCUUAAGGAGUUCGGUAGAUAUCUUGCUUUUUCUUAAAUAUGAUGAAAAUCAGUUAUGAAGAGUGCAUACAGAAGCGUAAUGUUCUACAUUGGACAAAAGGAACUGGAGAUGCAGUACAAGAUGAACAGAAUUGUUGGUCAAUGUAGGAAAAAAUCUGAACUUAUGCAGGCGAAAUUUACUGAGAAACUGGAAGAAGUACAUACUGCAUACCAGAAGAUGGCGAAAAGAUGUCAGUUGUUGGAGCAAGAGAAUGAAAACUUGAACAGAGAUAAGCACGAGCUGCAAGAAAAAUUUGCUGAGACCAUCUGAGACAAGGGCAGAGAGAUGAGGGCUGGGGUCCACCGCUAAGGCAACGUCACUGCACCUCUGGUCCCUUUGAUCUGUCCACCGGGUCUCCUGCCCAUGCCGUGGCUCCUCCGGCUGAUAUCAGGCCCAGACAGCAGACACACGGCAGCCGAAGCAGUAGCCAGCUGAACAUGCUGACAUGUUAUUGCGAGUGGUCAAGGCUCAGGAUUCAGAGCAGAAGAUGCACAUAAAUACUGGUGAAUGAUGCCAUCGACGAUGAUGAAUUGAUGAAACGAUGGAUGAUGCCAUCGAUGAAAGAUGGAAUGGAACUCAAAUUUUGGUGGUCGCACACAAGUGUGGAGACAUGAAUUUAUAUAUACUUAGUUAGGCUCAAUGUUAGCAUAAACAGUUGAUGAACAAGUUUAAAUUUAGAGUACACUUAUGUAUGAGUUAUUUGACAAUGCUUAUUUAUGAGAUAUUGAAUGAUA